UCAAUCAAGUCCAGAGCGCAGUUACCCCGCCCAGGAGCUCUGCCGAGGAAGCAGGAAUUUAAAGGGGCCCUCCGGUGUCUGUCACGCCCUCUGCCUUUAAGGCCGGCCAUCUGAGAGGGGUGGUUAAUACACAAAUCCCAAGUGCAUGGCCUGAUAAAUUCUUCCUGGAUAGCUACCACCGAGGUCAAGAUAAGGGACAUUUUCCACGUAUCUCCAAGACUGCACUUGCUCACUCAUACCUGAGGGGCGUUGCGUUACCAAAACCAGAGGUGGUUCCCAAGUUGGAGCCAGGAGAGGAGCCGUGGAUAUUAGAGGACGAGUCCCCAGGCCAGAGCCACCCAGGUGAAUCCGUCAGUGUAGGGAAGCUGUGGCUAG